UACGGAAGGUGCAAGCGUUAAUCGGAAUUACUGGGCGUAAAGCGCGCGUAGGCGGCUUGGUAAGUCGGGUGUGAAAGCCCCGGGCUCAACCUGGGAACUGCACUCGAUACUGCCGGGCUAGAGUACGAAAGAGGGGGGUGGAAUUCCAGGUGUAGCGGUGAAAUGCGUAGAGAUCUGGAGGAACAUCGGUGGCGAAGGCGGCCCCCUGGUUCGAUACUGACGCUGAGGUGCGAAAGCGUGGGGAGCAAACAGG
rnacentral:rRNA from 1 species